AAGGAAAGGCAGGAAAUCAGGAGGAUAACUGAACUCAUAUUUAAGAGACGGAUGAGACAGAGAGGCGCCUAAUCGUCAAAUUUCACGACAAAAGGUAACACCAGAGGUCAACAAGAAUAAAAGUGAUAAAACAGAGAAAUAAAUGAGAAGUUACUGCAAACAAAAAAACUGAAUAAGAGAAUAAAACCAAGAAAAGACAGAGAGCGAAAAAGACGAUACUAGGCUGUGAACAUGGACUAAUAGGGUUUCCUUGACUUUUGGAGCCAGCCCCAUGUGGACACUUGAGGUACUGCAGUUUUUGGACUUAUUAAAGUCAUUAAAGCUCAUAUUGUUCAUGUAAUGAAGUAUUUUUGAAGUCUGGCUAACCCCCGAUCUCCACCUUCCUCCUGAUCGUCUCCUAAAAGGUCGUAUCCUCCGAUCGUAGCUGAUCGUAACCAUUCAAGUUAACGUGUCAAUUUACACCGACUUCUUUCCGUUCCUCUGCGGAUCGCCGGACUCCUCAGCUGAUCACAAGAGUUCGAUUUUUUCUGGACGCCGGAGCAUGGCGGAUAAAUUCAGCACAGAUUAACCCGUGCUGGAAAGGAAGUCGGGCACAGACACAAAAUAAAACAUCCGGCUUCUUUUCAAAAUAAAACACUCCGUGUUUCAGGAGGAUCGUAUUUCACACCAUGCAAACGGGCGGAGACGAACAAGUGAAAGGUUUUUAGACGUCAUUUCACCCCGAUGACACCAUGGAUGAGGAGAUGCUGAUUCUAGAAGUCUAGAAGUAGAUUUCCUCCUCUGGAAGGACACAAUCUACUGCUUAUA